rnacentral:rRNA from 1 species
GAUCAAGUGAAAGAAGGGCAUUUGGUGGAUGCCUUGGCAUGCACAGGCGAUGAAGGACGUGAUACGCUGCGAAAAGCCGUGGGGAGCUGCGAAUGAGCUUUGAUCCAUGGAUCUCCGAAUGGGGCAACCCACCUUAGAUGCUUGGAAAAUCAUUUUGGUUGGCA